CAAAGCCCAAUUCAUCAAGAAAGAAAGACGACGAGAAGCUUCGAUCUCUCAUCAGUAAAGGAGGAGAGAAGCAGCGAUGAAACCAGAGGAAGAGAUAGAGCUUCAUGCAAGGCGAAUCCAUGUCUGCAUCAUGCUUGAGCAGAGCUUUGGAUUCGAUUCCCUGAAGCUCUGAAUCCUAUUCCUGAUUUGAAGAUCAACAGACCGAAAGAGGAGAUCAUUCGAUCGGAAGGUGUUGGAGUGCAGACUGGUGUUUCUCUCAUUCCAUAUCCAGUAAAUCGUUGAUUGCCAAGCUAGGAGGGAGAGAAAUCGAUGAGGCCUUGAACUGCAGUGAGCAGGUAAAGCGAUCAUCUGCUGGAUCGAGUCAGGCCAGGUGUGUGUGGGAUUGAGAGAGCAAAGGCGGGUGAUAUUCAUCCACAGGUUGUAGGCGAAAUCGCACUCAAAGUAGAGAUGAUUGCGAGACUCCGGUGACCUGUUGCAAAGUAAGCAAGGCGCAUGGACAUGAAGACCCCAUCGAAAAAGACGAUCCCUAUUUGGGCAUCUGUCCAGAACGACUAGCCACGUACGGAAGUUGUGUCUUGGUAUCCCAUAAGAAGUCCACACCACGUUCGCCCAAUCAACUUCAUCGUGUUGUUCUCGGAGUUGUAGCUGAGGAUCGGAGUGAGCAGGAGGGAGACGCCACGAGCCAUUCUUAUAUAGAGAAGCCACCGUUGCUUGUCGUGGAAUGCCAAGCCUGGAUGAGCUUGCAUCCAACAGAGUUUCAAUACUGCCAAGAGGUGACCAGUUAUCGAACCAGAACCUUGCCGAUAGUUCAUUUUCAAGCCGUAGUUUUACCAGUGGAAAGACAACAUCUUUUAGUUUGAGGAUCUUGUUCGUGAGCCACGAGAAAGAAGCUUUUGGCUUAGUAGUCCAGUAAUUAUGAAUCGACCCCUUGAGCACUUCCUCAAUAAUUUGAGCCACCCACAACGAACCUAACCUAAAGAAGAGGAGCCACACUAGCUUCAGACAGCAUGCUCUGUUCCAUGUCUGAAGGUCUUUCACACCGAGUCCGCCUUGCUGUGUAGUAGGUAUCACCGUUUCCCAAAAUACUCUCGCCGUGUUAUGGCUUUCAAUAUCACCCUUCCAAAGAAAAAUACUGGAGAGAGAAUUUAUUCGAGUAAUACACGCCUUGGGAGGGAUGAAAGCCGAGCACCAGAAGAUAGUAAUGUCUGCUAUUACCGUUUUUAUCAGUAGAAAAGUUUUGUGUAUUUUUUUUUGGUCGAGCUAUUUCAUUAAACCCAAGUUGACAAAGGUGUACAAAUGGUUUUGUUUCUGAAGCCAUAUCUUUAAUAUUUACAACAAAUCAAACCCA